GACGAACGCUGGCGGCGUGCUUAACACAUGCAAGUCGAACGGAAAGGCCCUGCUUUUGUGGGGUGCUCGAGUGGCGAACGGGUGAGUAACACGUGAGUAACCUGCCCUUGACUUUGGGAUAACUUCAGGAAACUGGGGCUAAUACCGGAUAGGAGCUCCUGCUGCAUGGUGGGGGUUGGAAAGUUUCGGCGGUUGGGGAUGGACUCGCGGCUUAUCAGCUUGUUGGUGGGGUAGUGGCUUACCAAGGCUUUGACGGGUAGCCGGCCUGAGAGGGUGACCGGCCACAUUGGGACUGCGAUACGGCCCAGACUCCUACGGGAGGCAGCAGUGGGGAAUAUUGCACAAUGGGCGGACGCCUGCUGCAGCAACGCCGCGUGCGGGAUGACGGCCUUCGGGUUGUAAACCACUUUCGCCUGUGACGAAGCGUGAGUGACGGUAAUGGGUAAAGAAGCACCGGCUAACUACGUG
rnacentral:rRNA from 1 species